CGGCGCUACUCCAUUUCCAUAACGUUCGGCCAGCCAUAAAAAAGGAGGAGAUCAAAUCCGCCGGCCGGCGGUGCGGCAGUGUGGAGACCUGUCGUAACGCGAUAGAGGUUUUACUCUUCUAUCGUAAGAGAGCUUUCGCGGAUGCGUAGCUCUUACGGUCAAUGGUAUGGCA
rnacentral:ncRNA from 1 species